UACGAAGGGGGCUAGCGUUGUUCGGAAUUACUGGGCGUAAAGGGCGUGUAGGCGGUUCGGUAAGUGGGAUGUGAAAUGCCCCGGCUCACCCGGGGACCGGCAUCCCAAACUGCCAGACUUGAGUAUGGGAGAGGAUGCGGGAAUUCCUGGUGUAGCGGUGAAAUGCGUAGAUAUCAGGAGGAACACCGGUGGCGAAGGCGCUCAUCUGGCCCAAUACUGACGCUGAUGCGCGAAAGCUAGGGGAGCAAACAGG
rnacentral:rRNA from 1 species